rnacentral:rRNA from 1 species
UACGUAGGUGGCAAGCGUUGUCCGGAAUUAUUGGGCGUAAAGCGCGCGCAGGCGGUUCUUUAAGUUGGGUGUUAAAGGCAGCGGCUCAACCGCUGUUCGCACCCAAAACUGGGGAACUUGAGUGCAGGAGAGGAUAGUGGAAUUCCCGGUGUAGCGGUGGAAUGCGUAGAGAUCGGGAGGAACACCAGUGGCGAAGGCGACUGUCUGGCCUGCAACUGACGCUGAGGCGCGAAAGCGUGGGGAGCAAACA